rnacentral:rRNA from 1 species
AUGAACGCUGGCGGCGUGCCUAAUACAUGCCAGUCGAGCGAACAGACGAGGAGCUUGCUCCUCUGAUGUUAGCGGCGGACGGGUGAGUAACACGUGGAUAACCUACCUAUAAGACUGGGAUAACUUCGGGAAACCGGAGCUAAUACCGGAUAACAUGUUGAACCGCAUGGUUCAACAGUGAAAGACGGUCUUGCUGUCACUUAUAGAUGGAUCCGCGCCGCAUUAGCUAGUUGGUAAGGUAACGGCUUACCAAGGCAACGAUGCGUAGCCGACCUGAGAGGGUGAUCGGCCACACUGGAACUGAGACACGGUCCAGACUCCUACGGGAGGCAGCAGUAGGGAAUCUUCCGCAAUGGGCGAAAGCCUGACGGAGCAACGCCGCGUGAGUGAAGAAGGUCUUCGGAUCGUAAAACUCUGUUAUUAGGGAAGAACAAAUGUGUAAGUAACUAUGCACGUCUUGACGGUACCUAAUCAGAAAGCCACGGCUAACUACGUG